CCUACGGGGGGCAGCAGUGGGGGAUAUUGCACAAUGGGGGGAACCCUGAUGCAGCGACGCCGCGUGAGCGAUGGAGUACUUCGGUAUGUAAAGCUCUGUCAGCAGGGAAGAAAAUGACGGUACCUGACCAAGAAGCCCCGGCUAAAUACGUGCCAGCAGCCGCGGUAAUACGUAGGGGGCAAGCGUUAUCCGGAUUUACUGGGUGUAAAGGGAGCGUAGGCGGCAGGGCAAGCCUGAUGGGAAAGCCCGGGGCUCAACCCCGGGACGGCAUUGGGAACUGGCCUGCUGGAGUGCAGGAGGGGCAGGCGGAAUUCCUAGUGUAGCGGUGAAAUGCGUAGAUAUUAGGAGGAACACCAGUGGCGAAGGCGGCCUGCUGGACGGUGACUGACGCUGAGGCUCGAAAGCGUGGGGAGCAAACAGGAUUAGAUACCCGUGUAGUC
rnacentral:rRNA from 1 species